CGCCAGAGAACUACUAGCAACAGCUUAAAACUCAAAGGACUUGGCGGUGCUUUAUAUCCCUCUAGAGGAGCCUGUUCUAUAAUCGAUAAACCCCGAUAUACCUCACCACCCCUUGCUAAUUCAGUUUAUAUACCGCCAUCUUCAGCAAACCCUAAAAAGGAGGAAAAGUAAGCACAAAUAUCUUAACAUAAAAAAGUUAGGUCAAGGUGUAACCCAUGAGGUGGGAAGCAAUGGGCUACAUUUUCUAUCUCUAGAACAUUUUUACGAACACCCUUAUGAAACAAAGGGCUAAAGGAGGAUUUAGUAGUAAACUAAGAAUAGAGCGCUUAG
rnacentral:rRNA from 1 species